CUUUGAGCCGUCGCAACGGAUGUCGUGAACCUCACCGAUAGCUCCGUGUGGGGGGAAGUCGUUAGCGAACCGGUCCUGCGUAUUUUCCCCACGUCUCUGCGCUAUAAAGCCAACGCCCAGCUGACCCGGCACCCUCAACCAACCCUAGUCGCCCGAGUACUCCACGCCGCGCGCGCCAUUGGCAGAGGAGGAGAAAGAAGGGUGCCGCCGGGGAAGAUUUCUGUGUAAACUCAAAUUGGGGGGGGCGUAGCUGGUCUUGGAGCUUCUGGAGAUCACCACGUGCCUGCUUGUGGCCUCGGCGAGUGGAGAUUGUAUCGGCUGGGCCGUGAAUUGCUCGCCAGUCUUCCAUCGUCGCCGCCGUACCACGAACCACCGCGGCCGGGAGCAACUACGUCUACAACUUGGUAAGAACCACCCCAAUCCGCUCCGCGUUGAUGUAUGCAUCGUGUAGGACUAGUCGAUUCUAGGUAUGGGGCGGUGGUCGCCGCGGUGGCGAGAGUGCCA
rnacentral:lncRNA from 7 species